rnacentral:rRNA from 1 species
CAGUAGCCGCGGUAAUACGGAGGGUGCAAGCGUUAAUCGGAAUUACUGGGCGUAAAGCGUGCGUAGGCGGUUCGUUAAGUCUGUUGUGAAAGCCCCGGGCUCAACCUGGGAAUGGCAAUGGAUACUGGCGAGCUAGAGUGUGUCAGAGGAUGGUGGAAUUCCCGGUGUAGCGGUGAAAUGCGUAGAGAUCGGGAGGAACAUCAGUGGCGAAGGCGGCCAUCUGGGACAACACUGACGCUGAGGCACGAAAGCGUGGGGAGCCAACAGGAUUAGAUACCCCCGUAGUCCCUGUCUCUUAUAC